rnacentral:pre_miRNA from 1 species
AGUGUUGAUUGUCCAAACGCAAUUCUUGUUCUAAUCAUUUCCAGAUAUCUAAAUUCAUACACUUCCGUUUCGGAAGUCAAAAAUGAAAACUGGCAUUGGUUAGAUGAGUUUUAGCUUCAAGAACUGUGUGUGGACAUCAAUUUUU